AAGUCUGGACUAUAGCCGACGACAUUAUUUCGUCGGCUAAAGUCUUGACUUUAGCCGACGACUUAUACGUGUGUCGUCGGCUAAAGUCACCACAGACGAGCUUUUCCCGACGAAAUCUUAGCCGACGAAAGGUCGUCGGCUAAGAUCUUAGCCGACGAAUUAAGCUGACAGGCCGACGAAAAAUUUUCGUCGGCUAAAGUGCUUGUCCUGGUAGUGACUUUAAGCUUUAUGUAACCAUCUAGUUGCAGCUAGCUUACACAGUCUGCCAAGCUAUCCAACACCACGAUUUAAGUCAUAGUCAAUUUAAAAUCGGGCCUAAUAGGCCAAUUCCCAAUCUGACAUUUUAAGGGUUUAGUUUUAGACCUAGGCCCAUUCCCAAACCCUACUAGAGAUGCUUCGCGUGUUGCAGACACGUUGACAACAGCCAAGGCAAUGCCUCCAUACCUUAGUCUCCCCUAUUCCUGUUCUCUUCCAGGUUAGCACCAACUCUUUUUCCUGCCACCAUUCACGAAACCCCGGCAACCAUGGUUCCCUGGCAAAAACUAGUUUAAUCGGCGCCAUUAGACCCGAUUGAAUUCUUCUUCCGAUCACAAGACCGAUCGAGAUAUCCAGUGCUCUUGGACAUGACGUCCACGUCGGCUCUUUCGUUAGAUCCAUCCUCAUAAGGUCCAUCUCGGCCAGCAUACGCCCACCGUCGUCAAAACCGCUAAUCCUCACAGCUAAAGACUACCUCGAGAUACAAGGAUUAUGGAUUAGUUGUAUUGUGAUCCGGGCAACGUUGCCGGAGACGCCAUCGACUCCCCAUGCCGUAGUGCCCACAGAUCCGUCCUUAGUUGGUCGACGGAGGAAAAAGGAAUGCGCUGCCGCCUUGGAUGCAAAACUCUUGUUUUCUGUUUCGAUACAGCUCCGCCAUAUACGGAGCAUGUUUUUCUUAGAAGCUUAAAUUAUUCUCGUUGCCAAAUACAAAAAAAAAAUGCAGAUGUUAUGUCAUUUAGCAAUAACAAACAUAAAAGAAAUUUUAAGGGCUUGUCCGGCAACGUUUUUGAAAACGAUUUUCAAAAUUGAUUUUAAAAAAUAAAAAUGAGAAAAUCAGAUUGUAUUUUCUAUUUUGGAAAUGUUUUCGGUAAUUUAUUGUGAAAAGUAUUUUUCAUAUUUUCUAACCUAAGAAAAUGAAAAAAUGAAAAAUUCAAAUUGAUGUUUUUGAUGAAGGAUAAAGUGUAGAGACAAAGAGAUAGCAAGAGAAUCAUCUUAUUCACUGAUAGGAGCCCUUUAUAUAGGGAAUUACACAAUACCAAUAUGGUAAGGAUAUGAAUACAUAGAUCUAGUCUAACUACAUAUCCUAUUAGCAUAAGGCCAAGGCACACAUAGAGAAUAUCCUAGAACACUCCCCCUUCGUGCCGCGCGCUGAUAUGCCGAU
rnacentral:lncRNA from 1 species